rnacentral:rRNA from 1 species
CGCUGGCGGCGUGCUUAACACAUGCAAGUCGAGCGGUAAGGCCCCUUCGGGGGUACACGAGCGGCGAACGGGUGAGUAACACGUGAGCAAUCUGCCCUUCACUUUGGGAUAACUCUGGGAAACGAGAGCUAAUACCGAAUACGACCACUUCAGGCAUCUGAUGGUGGUGGAAAGUUCCGGCGGUGAAGGAUGAGCUCGCGGCCUAUCAGCUAGUUGGUGGAGUAACGGCCCACCAAGGCUUCGACGGGUAGCCGGCCUGAGAGGGUGACCGGCCACACUAGGACUGAGACACGGCCCAGACUCCUACGGGAGGCAGCAGUGGGGAAUAUUGGACAAUGGGCGAAAGCCUGAUCCAGCAACGCCGCGUGAGGGAUGACGGCCUUCGGGUUGUAAACCUCUUUCAGUAGGGACGAAGCGCAAGUGACGGUACCUACAGAAGAAGCACCGGCCAACUACGUG